CUAGUGAGAGAUACAUAUUCAUUUGUAGCCCACUUUGUCUUAUAGCCCCGAACUCUAUGUGUAACAAGUGGAGCGUGUUUAUCACAAA